rfam:Candidatus Wirthbacteria bacterium CG2_30_54_11 cg2_3.0_scaffold_3734_c, whole genome shotgun sequence.
UCCCUGGUAGCUCAAUGGUAGAGCAGGCGGCUGUUAACCGCAAGGUUGCUGGUUCGAGCCCAGCCCGGGGAG